rnacentral:lncRNA from 1 species
UUCAGCAUAUCCCUUCUUAUCAAAUAUUGCUGAGUCAGCUGUUGUGUCCAGUCAGGGUCAUACUGUGAAGAAACAAUAGACCAGGUUGAUGAGUAACGAGGUCUCCUCGGUAUGCCCACCGAAAUGCAUAUGGUUGAAAAUGAAAUGAAAAUCUUCCGUUCAGAAUAUCAGUUUCGGCAUUCGGUGCAUAUUUAUGAAAUACCUUGUGAACCGAAUGCAUUUCCUUAUCUGAUUCAUGCUCAUCUGAAAGACUCCUUUCAUUCGUUCAAAAACCGAGCUGCUUCUGGGUUUACGAGGUGAAGUCCAGACCAGUCCUCCGGCCAGAAUUUGUGGAAGAUGUUUACCGUGCCUCUUGCGUAAACUGAAACGGUUGGUAUAACAGCCAGUUACAUCGUGGCACAUGCCGUGUCCCAUUAGGAGGACAGAGACACGACUAUGGCCACAGUAGGACUUCCUUUAUGGUGACUAAUAACAACCGAAGGAGGCGAACCCUCGGAGGGGAGACGGAAACAUAACCGCGCAGCCCUUUGCGCAUUUCUGGUCCCGGCGAUUUGAAACUCUUCUGCUGGAAGUGUGUUGGAUCAGUGGGGGUUUAGAUGAAGGACGAAUGUGUAUUUACCACAGACUUUGCUGUACCACAAAAUAACGCAAUCUCAGAGGUGCUGACACUUGGGCUGAUGGCAUGGGUGUGACACCAUCGGUCGAGGGAUUUCAGACGGACCGGCGCUCCGACGAAACCUUGGGGUUCCCUGGUGCAACAGCAGGAAGGGCAGCUGUUACUCAAGAUUUCCCCCCCCCCCCGCCCCACCCGGUACUUUGGUCCCUCCAGCUCCCGCCGCCACCCCAGCCCCCACAACCCUUUGCGCGUCAACAGGACCUGACAAAGCUGAUGCGCAUUCGUGAGAGGAUGGAAAAGCAGAAGUGGGGACAUGUCGAAAUUGUGUUCGGCACUUCGCCAAGGCGGCUCUGGUCACUUACGGGAGCUCAGCAGCUCUGGAUUCCCGAUAGGCCGGAGGUCCGGAUAUCCGUAGGGCGUGAUCUGAACACCAACCGCCGCAUAUGA